rnacentral:rRNA from 1 species
AGCGAACGCUGGCGGCAGGCUUAACACAUGCAAGUCGAGCGGGCGUAGCAAUACGUCAGCGGCAGACGGGUGAGUAACGCGUGGGAACGUACCUUUUGGUUCGGAACAACCCAGGGAAACUUGGGCUAAUACCGGAUAAGCCCUUACGGGGAAAGAUUUAUCGCCGAAAGAUCGGCCCGCGUCUGAUUAGCUAGUUGGUGAGGUAACGGCUCACCAAGGCGACGAUCAGUAGCUGGUCUGAGAGGAUGAUCAGCCACAUUGGGACUGAGACACGGCCCAAACUCCUACGGGAGGCAGCAGUGGGGAAUAUUGGACAAUGGGCGCAAGCCUGAUCCAGCCAUGCCGCGUGAGUGAUGAAGGCCCUAGGGUUGUAAAGCUCUUUUGUGCGGGAAGAUAAUGACGGUACCGCAAGAAUAAGCCCCGGCUAACUUCGUGCCAGCAGCCGCCGCCGUAAC